rnacentral:rRNA from 1 species
AAUCAACGCUGGCGGCGUGCCUAACACAUGCAAGUCGAACGCGAGAAUCCCGAAAGGGAUCAGUAGAGUGGCAAACGGGUGAGUAACACGUGGGUGACCUGCCUUCGAGUGGGGGAUAACGUCCCGAAAGGGACGCUAAUACCGCAUGACAUCCUGCUCUUGAACGAGUGGAGAUCAAAGCUGGGGAUCGCAAGACCCAGCGCUCAAAGAGGGGCCCNCGCCUGAUAGCUAGUUGGUGGGGUAACGGCUCACCAAGGCAACGAUCAGUAUCCGGCCUGAGAGGGCGGACGGACACACUGGGACUGAGACACGGCCCAGACUCCUACGGGA